rnacentral:rRNA from 1 species
UACGAAGGGGGCUAGCGUUGCUCGGAAUCACUGGGCGUAAAGCGCACGUAGGCGGCUUCUUAAGUCAGGGGUGAAAUCCUGGAGCUCAACUCCAGAACUGCCUUUGAUACUGGGACGCUUGAGUAUGGUAGAGGUUGGUGGAACUGCGAGUGUAGAGGUGAAAUUCGUAGAUAUUCGCAAGAACACCGGUGGCGAAGGCGGCCAACUGGACCAUUACUGACGCUGAGGCGCGAAAGCGUGGGGAGCAAACAGG